rnacentral:rRNA from 1 species
GACGAACGCUGGCGGCGUGCGUAACACAUGCAAGUCGAACGAAGUGGCGAACGGGUGAGUAACGCGUAAUCAACCUGCCCUUCAGAGGGGUACAACAGUUGGAAAAGAAUGCUAAUACCGCAUACUGAAGGAGGGGAUUGCGUCUGAUUAGCUAGUUGGAGGGGUAACGGCCCACCAAGCCGAUGAACAGUAGUCGGUCGUAGAGGAGUAACGGCCACAGUGGGACUGAGACACGGCCCAGACUCCUACGGGAGGCAGCAGUGGGGAAGCUUCCGCAAUGGACGAAAGUCUGACGGAGCAACGCCGCGUGAGUGAUGACGUCCUUCGGGUUGUAAAGCUCUGUUAAUCGGGACGCGGUACCGGAAUAGAAAGCCACGGCUAACUACGUGCCAGCAGCCGCGGUAAUUC